GAGCCGGGCCCUCCAGCUCCGCGCAGGCCUUCCGGAAUUCCUCCUCUGAGAAGCCGUCCGCCUUCUCCAUGAGCAGCUGAGGCCCCAGGAAAGAAAACAGGUCAAUAUUUCAUCAGUGCUUCAAGAAUCCCUUUUUAGCUAGAGGCACCAUGACAUUGUGGCUAAAGAAUUUCCUUUGAAACCAAGAAGAUCUGGAUUCAAUUCCAUUCGUUGACAUAGACUGGCUGUUUGUGCCUGUGCUCUAGGAAACCCUCUCAGAGUAUAAGUUGCAGAAAAGGUGUUGAACUUCAUUGGUAAAAGGAUUUCCUACAACAAGGAAAUCAGAGGUCUAGUACCUAUCUCCCUGUCCUUCAGGCUAAAAGCAAAUUUAUUCUUAUUAACUGGCAAUGUCUACAAGAUACCAAACAUCUUAAUUAAAAUGAGAAACACA